rnacentral:rRNA from 1 species
UACGUAGGGGGCGAGCGUUGUCCGGAAUUACUGGGCGUAAAGGGUGCGUAGGCGGUCCAUUAAGUCAGGUGUGAAAAACCUGGGCUCAACCGAGGUAUUGCACUUGAAACUGAUGGGCUUGAGUGCAGGAGAGGGAAGUGGAAUUCCUAGUGUAGCGGUGAAAUGCGUAGAUAUUAGGAGGAACACCAGUGGCGAAGGCGGCUUCCUGGACUGUAACUGACGCUGAGGCACGAAAGCGUGGGGAG